rnacentral:rRNA from 1 species
CCUACGGGUGACAGCAGUGAGGAAUAUUGGUCAAUGGACGAGAGUCUGAACCAGCCAAGUAGCGUGAAGGAUGACUGCCCUAUGGGUUGUAAACUUCUUUUAUAUGGGAAUAAAAUGUUCCACGUUUGGGAUUUUGUAUGUACCAUAUGAAUAAGGAUCGGCUAACUCCGUGCCAGCAGCCGCGGUAAUACGGAGGAUCCGAGCGUUAUCCGGAUUUAUUGGGGUUAAAGGGUGCGUAGGUGGAUUGUUAAGUCAGAUGUGAAAGUUUGCGGCGCAACCGUAAAAUUGCAGUUGAAACUGGCAGUCUUGAGUACGGUAGAGGUAGGCGGAAUUCGUGGUGUAGCGGUGAAAUGCUUAGAUAUCACGAAGAACUCCGAUUGCGAAGGCAGUUCACUGGACUGCAACUGACACUGAGGCUCGAAAGUGUGGGUAUCAAACAGGAUUAGAUACCCGUGUAGUC